AGUUUCAAACUGAGAAAACCAUUUUUCUAACAUGUAGAGCUCAUGAAAACGAACCUAACGCAAUUUGAAUGAGUCAAAUCGAAGUUAAAAUGAAUAUUUUAUGACGAAAAGAAAUCUAGUGGCAAACUUGUAAUUACAGAAAGCAUAUUUUCGGAGUCAAUCCGGUAUUUUUCUGUUUUCUGAAAGAGAAAGCGCAUUUUUGAUAUCCGCUUUGGACUGCGGGUUUAUUUGGCAAAAGCUCAGGGGCUUUUUAACAAAAGUGCGAAUGAAGGGGUACGUUCUAAUCUGGAUCGUUGAUCUUGAAUCGGACGACUGAGACUCAAUCUGGGGAAAAACAGGUGCCUGCCGGCAAUGCACAGGAGCCUCACGGUGGCUCCAUGGCCGGAAGUUCGCCGUCGCUCAUGGAGAAGGCACUAGGAACCAUGGUUUUCGAUGGGAAAAGAACCAGGGCGUAGAGGACCUUCGUGCGAACUCACCUAGGCGACUUUUGCGAUCGGAGAGAGCUUGGAAGAGGGCGGCAGCACGUCGAGGCGGAGCUUUGCGUUCCUGCGAAGUUCGGCGAGCAAUUCAGCAACACAGAGAAGGAUAGAACGAUGAUGGAAAGCACAGGGGGGUUCAAAACCUCAACGCGAAGCUCGGCGUCCACUCGAUUGUGAUAGAGCGGCCACGUAUAGCAAGAACCACGGCGGCAGUUCUUCCUCUACUCGCGGCGAGAUCCAAACUGCGAUGACGACCGCAAAGAGAGCUCGUUGGCUUCACAGAUGAGGGAAAGGGCACGCGGGGAAGGUUCCUGAGCUUUUAUAGGAGCAUGGUAGUCGAUCACGGCAACAAAUCCCGUGGUAAACGGGAUUGGGCUCGGUCCCGAUGUGAAGUCCUGCUUGGCCACGCGAGGAAGAAAGAUUGGAGGCACUGACUUGUGGGGCCCCCCUGUCGGUGACCAAAAGCGUGGGACCCGCUUGCCAGCCAAGGGAGAGAGAGAGGACGGCGCUGGCUGGCCAUUUGGGCCGAGAGAGGGAAGCGAGGCAUGCUGCGCGCGCUGGGCCGAAGGGAAACAGAAGGGGGAGGUUUUUUUUUUGUUUGUUUUCUUUUUUGUUUCUUUUUAUUUCAAAACCAUUUGAAACUCAUUUAAAAAUUCUUUUGAAUCCUUUUGAAUUUUGAGUUCAAAAACACUCAGCACAAUAAACCAAAAUGCAGAAGCAUGAGUGCACAAAAAUGUUGCUACACCCUAAGAUAAAUUUUAUUUUGAUGAAGAAUAUUAUUUCCUAGGUUUGAUGAGCACCAAAAAUUCAUAAAUAAAUCAUUUUUCACCUAUUUUUAAAAUGAGCAAAAUUUUGGGUGUUACAGAGGUCUAGUUUAAUGUGUAGUUUUCGCGUUGUAACUUCACUUUCUGUGAAUUUUGCGUUGACGUGAUUGUUGCAGCAAGUAGAUGAUUACGGAAAACAUUUUAUUUACAUUUAUUUACUGCUAGUGCAUUAUUCUAACUUUAGGAAUGUUUUGCUUGCAUGUCUGUCAUUGGAAUGCAUGUUGUUGUGAGAUGUUGAUCCAGUCCAAAUGGUGAGGAGUUCUACAGGAAUCCAAAGUUCUUUGAAGAGGACCAGGAUCAACAGGAUUGUGUGAACCAAGGCAAGUAUAGCAUGAGCUUACCUUGAUGUCCUACUCACUUUAAGCAUUUCAUACUGCAUGUGUCUAAUUUUGUCAACUAUAUAUAAGGACAUCCUAGUUGUUGAUCACACAAUACCUUGAUACC
rnacentral:lncRNA from 1 species